GACAGAGGGUGCUAGCGUUGUUCGGAAUUACUGGGCGUAAAGGGCGCGUAGGCGGCUCGUUUAGUCGGGUGUGAAAUCCCGGGGCUCAACCCCGGAACUGCAUUCGAUACUGGCGGGCUAGAGACCGGAAGAGGUGGGUGGAAUACCCAGUGUAGAGGUGAAAUUCGUAGAUAUUAGGAAGAACACCAGUGGCGAAGGCGGCUCACUGGCCCGGUACUGACGCUGAGGCGCGAAAGCGUGGGGAGCAAACAGG
rnacentral:rRNA from 1 species